ensembl:lncRNA
UGUCUCUGCAGAGGCUUCAUUGCGCUUGAAAACAAGACAUUUAUCAUUGAGCCGGUGUCUGGGCAUGACAACGGUGCCCACUUCAUCUACCGAGUGGAAGAACUCGCACUGACCCCAGGAGCCUGCGGCCACGGCUUCAACAUGUCCUCUGUUCAUAUCUGUUUUUUUCUUCAGCAUAAAAGGCAGGUUCAGAAGACAACCAAGUACGUUGAGCUGAUCAUUGUUGCAGACAACAGAGAGUUUCAGAAACAGGGGAGGGAUGUGGAGAAGGUGAAACAGAGACUGGCAGAGAUAGCCAAUUACGUGGACAAGUUCUACAGGGCCCUGAACAUCCGGGUGGCCCUGGUGGGUCUGGAGGUGUGGAGUGACACUGAUAAAUGCCCAAUCACCCAGGAUCCCUUCACCACCCUGCACGAGUUCCUAGAUUGGAGGAAAGUCAAACUGUUGCCCCAGAAACCUCACGACAAUGCUCAGCUCAUAAGCGGGGUUUACUUCCAGGGCACCACCAUUGGCAUGGCGCCCAUUAUGAGCAUGUGCACAGCUGAGCAAUCUGGAGGAAUUGUCAUGGAUCACUCUGAGAACCCACUGGGUGCAGCCGUGACUUUGGCACACGAGCUUGGACACAAUUUUGGGAUGAACCACGACACCCCGGAGCGCGGCUGUGGCUGCAGGAUGACAGUUGACCGUGGAGGCUGCAUCAUGACCCCCUCCACAGGGUAUCCAUUCCCAACAGUGUUCAGUACAUGCAGUAAGAAGGACCUUGCUGCCAGUCUGGAGAAAGGCGUGGGCAUGUGUUUGGACAACAUGCCUGAGGUAAAGGUGCUCUACGGUGGCCAGAAGUGCGGCAACGGCUACGUGGAGGAGGGAGAAGAGUGUGACUGCGGGGAGCCAGAGGAAUGUAUGAACCCAUGCUGUAACGCCACCACAUGCACCCUUAAGGGAGACGCUGUGUGCGCCCACGGACAGUGCUGUGAAGACUGCAGGCUGAAACCAGCUGGCACCAUGUGUCGAGAUUCUAGUAACUCAUGUGACCUGCCAGAGUUUUGUACUGGUGCAAACCCUCACUGCCCAGCCAACGUUUAUCUGCAUGAUGGACAUGCCUGCCACAGCGUUGAAGGCUACUGCUACAAUGGCAUCUGCCAAACUCAUGAGCAACAAUGCAUCACCCUGUGGGGACCAGGGGCCAAGCCUGCCCCUGGGAUAUGCUUUGAGCGAGUCAACUCCGCAGGUGAUCCUUAUGGGAACUGUGGGAAGGACUCCAAAGGCUCCUUUGCCAAAUGUGAUGCAAGGGACGCAAAAUGUGGCAAAAUUCAGUGCCAGGGAGGAGCCAACCGGCCAGUGAUCGGAACAAACGCUGUUUCCAUUGAAACCAACAUCCCGCUUCAAGAAGGAGGGCGAAUCCUGUGUCGAGGAACUCAUGUUUAUCUGGGCGAUGACAUGCCUGAUCCUGGGCUGGUUCUGGCUGGUACAAAGUGUGGAGACGGCAUGGUGUGCCUGAAUCGCGAGUGCCAGAAUGUCAGUGUCUUUGGUGUGCAUGAGUGCUCUGGGAAGUGCAAUGGACGUGGGGUGUGCAACAACAAGAUGAACUGCCACUGUGAAGCACACUGGGCCCCUCCGUUCUGUGGGAAAGCAGGCUUCGGUGGGAGCAUCGACAGUGGGCCAAUGAGACUAGCAGCCGACAGUGUGGUCAUUACUGUGGCAAUCCUGGUUACCCUGGUCAGCCUUCUGGUAACCACCGUCAUCAUCUUUCUGAAGAGAAAGACUCUGCUGCGCCUCAUCUUCACCAAUAAGAAAAGCACCUUGGAGAAACUCAGUCCACCUCAGAAACCCCUACCUGCAGAUCCACUAGGGAGGAGCUCUCAGCUGGGUCACAGUUUUACAGCCGGGGGGGUCCACAUCCCCGGAACUGGACCCCUCCCCAUACCUAUCCCCACUGUGCCCAGGCCUCCACCACCAAAGACUCAUAAGGACUGCUGA